rnacentral:rRNA from 1 species
UACGUAGGGUGCAAGCGUUAAUCGGAAUUACUGGGCGUAAAGCGCGCGCAGGCGGUCUUCCAAGUCAGUGGUGAAAGCCUGGAGCUCAACUCCAGAACUGCCAUUGAAACUGUUUAGACUUGAGUACGAGAGAGGUGAGUGGAAUUCCCAGUGUAGAGGUGAAAUUCGUAGAUAUUGGGAAGAACACCAGUGGCGAAGGCGGCUCACUGGCUCGUAACUGACGCUCAGGCGCGACAGCGUGGGGAUCGAAACAGGAUU